rnacentral:rRNA from 1 species
UACGGAGGGUGCGAGCGUUGUCCGGAAUCAUUGGGCGUAAAGGGCGCGUAGGUGGCCCGGUCAGUUCGUGGUGAAAGUGCGGGGCUCAACCCUGCGUCGGCCAUGAAUACUGCCGCGGCUGGAGCACUGUAGAGGCAGGCGGAAUUCCGGGUGUAGCGGUGGAAUGCGUAGAGAUCCGGAAGAACACCGGUGGCGAAGGCGGCCUGCUGGGCAGUUGCUGACACUGAGGCGCGACAGCGUGGGGAGCAAACAGG